GCUCUCUUAGCUCAGUAGGACAGAGCAGCGGCCUUCUAAGCCGUAGGUCACAGGUUCGAAUCCUGUAGGGAGUGCCA
rnacentral:tRNA from 1 species